rnacentral:rRNA from 1 species
GAAUCUUUCUCAAUGGGCGCAAGCCUGAAGGAGCGACGCCGCGUGGGGGAUGAAGGGCUUCGGCCUGUAAACCCCUGUCAUUCGCGAACAAGGUCGGCUAUUUAAAAGAUGGCCGGAUUGAUGGUAGCGAAAGAGGAAGGGACGGCUAACUCGGUGCCAGCCGCCGCGGUAAUACAGAGGUCCCAAGCGUUGUUCGGAUUCACUGGGCGUAAAGGGUGCGUAGGUGGUGGGGAAAGUUCGAUGUGAAAGCUCCGAGCUUAACUCGGAAAUGGCAUUGAAAACUACCUUGCUAGAGGAUUGGAGGGGGGACUGGAAUUCUCGGUGUAGCAGUGAAAUGCGUAGAUAUCGAGAGGAACACCAGUGGCGAAGGCGAGUCCCUGGACAAUUCCUGACACUGAGGCACGAAAGCUAGGGGAGCAAACAGG